AGCUUUGCACCAUGGCAGUAUCAUAGCCAAUGAGGUUUAUCUGAGGCAUGAUUAUUGCUAAUUGAAAACUUUUCCCAAUACCCUGCCAUGAUGACUUGCAAUAUGGUCGGCACCGGCAAAAAAAAAGGAAA
rfam:Otolemur garnettii contig187536, whole genome shotgun sequence.